ACACAGGUGAUGGGAUACACAGGUGACACAGGUGUGACACAGGUGGGCAGCAGCAGUGGGGGAUGCUCCAAAAAACUCUCGAAAACGUCACCUGGGGGGACAGGUGAGGCAGGCGUGUCCCAGGUGUGACACGCAGAUAACACAAGUACCCCAGGUACGCCCCAGGUGUGUCCUAGCUAUCCCAGGUGUGCCCAGGUGUGUCCCAGGUGUCUCUCAGGUGUGUGUCCCGGUGUGUCCCAGCCACACCCAGUUGUCCACAGCUAUCCCCACCCUCCCCAGGUGUGACCUGGGGGAGGGGCUGGCACCUGGGACAGGUACACACACACACCUGGGACAGGUGUCCCCCCCACACACACCUGGAGCCUGCAGUGUCACCCUCCAGGUCUGCCCAGGUGUGUCCCAGGUGUCUCUCAGGUGUGUGUCCCGGUGUGUCCCAGCCACACCCAGUUGUCCACAGCUAUCCCCACCCUCCCCAGGUGUGCCCAGGUGUGCCCAGGUGUGCCUCACCUGCUCCAGGCAGCCCCGGGGCGUGCACAGCAGGUUGUCCCCCAUCCCCAGGUGUGUCCCAGGUGUGUCCCAGGUGUGUCUCACCUGUCCCAGGUGUGCCUCACCUGCUCCAGGCAGCCGCGGGGCGUGCACAGCAGGUUGUCCCCCAUCCCCAGGUGUGUCCCAUGGGACGUGCACAGCAGGUUGUCCCUCCC
rnacentral:lncRNA from 12 species